rnacentral:rRNA from 1 species
AAGACUCUGCGCGCAGCCUGAUGCAGCCAUGCCGCGUGUAUGAAGAAGGCCUUCGGGUUGUAAAGUACUUUCAGCGGGGAGGAAGGGAGUAAAGUUAAUACCUUUGCUCAUUGACGUUACCCGCAGAAGAAGCACCGGCUAACUCCGUGCCAGCAGCCGCGGUAAUA